CCUACGGGAGGCAGCAGUGAGGAAUAUUGGUCAAUGGCCGAGAGGCUGAACCAGCCAAGUCGCGUGAGGGAAGACUGCCCUACGGGUUGUAAACCUCUUUUAUCCGGGGGUAAAGCUAUCCACGUGUGGUUCUUUGCGGGUACCCCAUGAAUAAGCACCGGCUAAUUCCGUGCCAGCAGCCGCGGUAAUACGGAGGGUGCGAGCGUUAUCCGGAUUUAUUGGGUUUAAAGGGUGCGAAGGCGGGUGUGUAAGGCGGCGGUAAAAUUUUGGGGCUCAACCCGGGAGUGCCGUGGAAACUGGAGCCCUUGAGUGCGCGAGAGGUAGGCGGAAUGCGUGGUGUAGCGGUGAAAUGCAUAGAUAUCACGAAGAACUCCGAUUGCGAAGGCAGCAUGCCGGAGCGUAACUGACGCUGAUGCACGAAAGCGCGGGUAUCGAACAGGAUUAGAUACCCGUGUAGUC
rnacentral:rRNA from 1 species